UACGUAGGGGGCAAGCGUUGUCCGGAUUUAUUGGGCGUAAAGAGCGUGUAGGCGGCUUGUUAAGUCAGGGGUGAAAUCCCACGGCCCAACCGUGGAACUGCCUUUGAUACUGGCGAGCUUGAGUGCGUGAGGGGUAACCGGAACGAGUAGUGUAGCGGUGAAAUGCGUAGAUAUUACUCGGAAGGCCAAAGGCGAAGGCAGGUUACUGGUACGCAACUGACGCUGAGGCACGAAAGCGUGGGGAGCAAACAGG
rnacentral:rRNA from 1 species